rnacentral:rRNA from 1 species
AAUAGAUACCCCGGUAGUCCUUGCCGUAAACUAUGUAUACUUGGUGUAACUGGACUCAACCCUAGUUGUGCCGAAGCUAACGCGAUAAGUAUACCGCCUGAGGAGUACGCUCGCAAGGGUGAAACUCAAAAGAAUUGACGGGGACCCGCACAAGCAGUGGAGCAUGUGGUUUAAUUCGAUGCAACGCGAAGAACCUUACCCAGACUUGACAUGCAGUAGACAGUACCAGAGAUGGUAUCUUCCUUCGGGACUGCUGCACAGGUGCUGCAUGGCUGUCGUCAGCUCGUGCCGUGAGGUGUUGGGUUAAGUCCCGCAACGAGCGCAACCCUUAUCAUUAGUUGCCAACAUUUAAGGUGGGAACUCUAAUGAGACUGCCUGGGUUAACCAGGAGGAAGGUGAGGAUGACGUCAAGUCCGCAUGGCCCUUAUGUCUGGGGCUACACACGUGCUACAAUGGUCGGUACAGAAGGCAGCGAAGCCGUGAGGUGAAGCAAAUCCCAAAAGCCGAUCCCAGUUCAGU